CGUGGUCAGUAAUGGAGGGAAAAUGAGAGCGCCUACUCAACUAAUGCAUCGUGCGACACUUAGGAUGGGAAUUUCCCGAGUUCGUUGGCCACUGUCGACCCCCUUCACUCCGGAGUCGGAGCCCUACCUGGCCCUGCCCUGGGCGCCUAUCCCCGGAGGUCUGGCGCCUUGGCCCGACCUCGUGCGUCCGUGGUCACUGUGACCCAGCGUUUUCCCCCGGCGCACGAGCUGCUCGCGUUAAGACGCACACCCCUUUUCUCCCAGCUAUCUCGGUAGAGGAGCCUCAGAUUUAGUUCUCGACUGGCGCCGGAGGCGGGGAAAAAUACACGGAAAUCUUUUACCAAACGGUCUAGGGAAGGCCAGGGAAGGGGAUUUUCGUACGCGGUGCCCCACUCCCCCCAACUUCCUUGUGCCCCCGAGCUGCGUGGUGUUAUUGAAGAGGAGUAUCUUAAGCUCCUCGUCUGUCCUCUUUGUUGGUGUUUGCCCUUUUCGUUGGCACCCUGGCUGCAGACCUGGCCCCAUGCGCCUUACAACCAAAACUUCUCAGACGACUUCCAGUGUUACAUUGAAUAGAAGUGGUGAGAGUGGGCAUAUUUGCCUUGCUCCAGAUCUCAGAGGAAGACCUUUCAACUCUUCACCAUUGUGAUGUAAACUGUGGGCUUGUCAUAUAUGGCUUUUAUUGUGUUGAGGACAAACUAUUCGAGAGAAAAGAAUUGUAGAAGCAGCAAAAAAACAAGAAGUAGACUAUGAACCAGGGGAUAUUCCUACAGAAUGGGAAGCUUGGAUUAGAAGAACAAGAAAGACUCCACCUACUAUGGAGGCUUAAGUGCUGUGGUGGAAUCUCAGCUCACUGCAACCUCCACCUCCCAGGUUCAAGUGAUUCUUCUACCUCAGCCUCCUAAGUAGCUGGAACUGCAGGAAAUACUAAAGAAUGAAAAAUACAGAGAAGAAAUCAAAAUAAAAAGCCGAGAGUUUUAUGAAAAAGAAAAAGUCCUUAGUAAAGAGACCAAUGAAGAACUCUUGGCUCCACCAGCUGACACUCAAAUUAAAG